GGGGGGAAGGAUCCAAAAGAGUCUGUAACCAGACACUGAAGCUUUCCAGGAGUGAGAGUGUGUGAGAGAGACGGAGACAGAGCGAGAGGAAGAGAGGGGGCAGUGUGGUCUAGUACAUUUUCAUCUGGUCGUUGAUUUGAGCCUGAUGCUUGCUGUCCCUCAACAGCCUCCCUUGCCUGGAUUUUUUCUUUCCCCCUCUCCUCUCCUUUCCCUUCUACUUCAUCGAAGCCUAGGGGAGCCAGGAAAGAUUAAAUGUGCUUUCGAAAAGGCAGCCACUUCAUGCAGCUAUGUCUGCUCCCCCCCCACUCCCAGCCACCCCCCCCUACUCCCCCUUUUUGAAAUAAAAAAAAAAAAAAAGAGAGGGGGAGACAGAGAGGGGGAGAAGGAAGGAGGAGGAAGAGGAGGACUAUAGUUUAAUGAUGUCGGGACUGGCUGAUCCAGAAGGAGAAAAAAAAAAAGGAAAAAAAGAAACCUAAAAAAAAAAAAAAGAAAAAAAAAAGAAAAUAUUUGAGCUCCUGGACGAGGAAGGACUUUGGUGAAUGGGCUCAGACUCCUGAGUUUUGGUGCAUUUGACUCCCUGGACUACCCAGACAAGUAAAGCUGUGGGGUAAGAUGUUCCAGUUUGUGAUUUUUUUUUGUUGUGCAUGGAAGGGAGAACUUACAGGCUCACCCUAAAAUUACAGUGUCCCAGAACAUGGAAAGAGACUUCUCUCUGCUCAGAAAGAGGUGGAGACUCAUUUAUUCGAGGUAGAUGGAAGGAAUAGGAGGGGAAAAGGCACCUAAAAGUGGUUUGCCCAAGGAAGCACACUAUUAGCAAAGCAGUAAUUCAUGUCUCCUGGUUUACAGGGCUCUAUUUAAUGGCAUGUAUUCUUCCUCUGUGGAACUUUCCUGCUUGGGAAUAAGGUUAAUAACCUGAAUAUGGCUCCUGAUAUGCCAGGAGACCCUCUCAUGUACCCCAGAUGUAACCAUGAAAGACUAUGUUAUUUCUGUGAGCAAGUCAUGCCUUUUUGCCCUUCUGUUUUUCUGUCAUUCACCCAAUGCUCUGGCAACUGUGUUUGAUAUGAGAGGGCAUUAAAACCAAUUAAAAGAUGAAAGAUGAGCCUCUGAUUUACAUGGUGACUGUGGAAGGCUGAGACUGCUGCAAUUGUUUUUAUUUAACAGCUCUUCCCACACUGCAGUCAGUGAAUCUCUAAUCUCCUGGACUGAAAUGUCUGACACUUUCAGAAUCAUUUAUUUGCUGGCUCUUGUAUCUUGUGUUGUGCUCACAGAGCUCCACCCACAGCAGUGUCUCAGCAGUGGGCUGAUGGUAUAUUGGAUAUAAAUGUAUGUUCUUUAAGGGGGUGGGGGGGAUAAAAGGCUGAACAUGGGCUUUGCUGUGCAAUAUGUGCCAUCCUUUAAAUAAGGGCUAUCUGCAGCAGCAAGUGUUGGAGGAUGGCUUGAGCUGCUGAGACACAAGGAGUAGAUUAACCCUGGCAGAGUUUAUUCCUUGCUGCUGACCCUCAACCAGCACCACUGAUCACAACCUGGUGCUAUUUGCUGUCGUGUUCCUCUGGAAGAUGGACAGAAGGGAUGCCCUUUGGUGUCCUGUGUGGCAAAGAGGAGGAUAAGCUCAGUCAGCUCCUGAGAGAAGUCUCCAAACUGCUCCCUCUGGCUACUCCAAGAAGCUGAACCUCUGGCUUCUGUUCCCUGGGAGCUGUGUCUGGUGAUCACAGGCCAUUAUACACUUCUCACUUGACUGCCCUGCUGGUAACUUCACUUUUGAGAUGAAUUAUGCAAGAAAUGCUGUGAAGCAUCAGAAAUGCUGAGGAUUGAGAAGAGUCCUCCUGGUGCACGAACUCGUUUCUGAAUCAAGUCCGAGACUCACCUGGAUUCCAGCUCCUCCAGAAAGGACAAAAAAAGGGGGAAAAAGGAUCAGAAAUCAAUCAGUGGACUUUGGUUUUGCUGUAUUUGUAUCAUGUCUGAACCUGCAAAGAAUAUCCUUGGUUAUUCCCAAGGAAUCCAGUAAAUGGUGACUCUGUCAAUCA